rnacentral:rRNA from 1 species
UGGGGAAUUUUGGACAAUGGGCGCAAGCCUGAUCCAGCAAUGCCGCGUGCAGGAUGAAGGCCUUCGGGUUGUAAACUGCUUUUGUACGGAGCGAAAAGGUCUGCCCUAAUACGGUGGGCUCAUGACGGUACCGUAAGAAUAAGCACCGGCUAACUACGUGCCAGCAGCCGCGGUAAUACGUAGGGUGCGAGCGUUAAUCGGAAUUACUGGGCGUAAAGCGUGCGCAGGCGGUUAUAUAAGACAGAUGUGAAAUCCCCGGGCUCAACCUGGGACCUGCAUUUGUGAAUGUAUAGCUAGAGUACGGUAGAGGGGGAUGGAAUUCCACGUGUAGCAGUGAAAUGCGUAGAUAUGCGGAGGAACACCGAUGGCGAAGGCAAUCCCCUGGACCUGUACUGACGCUCAUGCACGAAAGCGUGGGGAGCAAACA